AACUGAAGGUCUGUGAAGUGUCUGUCCUGCCCAUUCCACCGCCAUCUCUCCUCAGGCCUCUGGAUGGCCACAGGUGUGGCCAUGUGGCUGGGAUCACGGGUUCUCAUUAGACUCUAGGGAAAGGCAAGCCUGUGGCUCAGAAUGCCCUUUCAGUUAAGGCCCCUGAAGAACUGGUAAUGGGUUCUAAAGAGAUGUGGAUAUACACAGACAAUGGGCUUGGGCAGCAGCUCUCCCAGGCACAUUUGGAGGUUCCAAGAACUCUCCCCAACUGCUCCAACCCCUCUUCCCCAUCAAGUCACUCAUUUUCAUUGCUCCCCAAACACGUCUCACCAAAUGUCUAGGCAAUCUCCCCUCCCACAAAUGAUGGUCUCCCCUUCUCUUUCCAAUCUCCCUGGUGAAUCCCACGUUUCCUAAAUCAGCUCUGAGCACUACUGAAAGACCUCAAAAAGCAGCAGACUCUGCAAAAAUCCCCAGCUUUUGCCAAAGUGAUACCCUAGCCCCCAGCUCCACAAAGGACGGUGAGUGAAUCUCUUCUCCCCUCCUGCUGGAUGCAAGGAGACAGGUAAUUUGAAAGCAAGGGGAGUGAGGCUGGACGAGGUGGCCCCUAGGGCCAAGGACUGCCGGGGCUGCAUGUGUAUAAUACAGAGACUAGUACCGCCUGCCGGGCUGGCACUUGGAGUCCACUUUUCCUGUGAUCCUUAGUUGCAAAUCUUCUCAGCCGUUCGGCAGGCACUCUCCUAAUCUCUCCAGCCUCAGCAGGGCCACACCCUCCUGCUGCUUCCCUGUGCUGUGAUGAAUGCUGCAGAGCAACGAACAGCCACUCGACGCCCAUCUCAGUCUCAGCGUCUGGGACAAAAGCAGCCCAGGGCUGGUUCCUGUAGCCCCAGCUGGCAAAUAAAACCUUUGGGACUCACAGGAGCCCAGCAGGGCGCACAGUAGGCCAGGGCACCCUGUGCAUGGUGGGAGGUGUGUGGGAGGUGGUGGGGCCCGAGGGAGGCAGAAGAUCACACCCACCCAUGAGCCCUCCUUCACAUGAGGUGUGAGCGAACAAGGAACCAGGAGAGGAGCUUUGCAACGGGCUGCUCUCAAAGGCUCUGGCAGGCGCGCGCUCUCCAUGACUCAUCCCGCUUCCCUCUCAGGACUCCUUAAUGCCUUUUAUCUGCCACAAAUGUUCUUGUCAGGGAGCUGGUAGGUGUUAGAUGUUCAAGCAGACUCAGGGGUGCGAGCGCACACACACACUCGUUUGAAAAGCACAUUUGUCUCACUUAAAAACAAACAACAACACCACACCUUCCUGCCUUAAAGUACUCUGGGAAUGAACAGCCUGCCUCUGACUUCGGAGCUCCCCUUCCACGGCCUCUAAACAAUGUGGCCCUUCUCCUCAACAGGAAAGCAACACGUCCGACUGGACCCACAGUCCCACCAGAGCAGGCGUGGGGCAGCAGGAGGGAAGCAAGGUGGAGUGCACAGAAAUAAGGACGGGACAGCUGAGCUGAGCGGGACACCGCCACACUGGCCUGCCUAAAGCUGGGGCAUCGAGGCAUCGGGGGCAUGCCUGGGGCAGGGCCGCCGGGGCGGGAGCGGGGAGGAGAACAACUGGAACUCUUCAGAAAUGGUGAAGCAAGUGGGAGAGAACGUCAGUGAGAGCAACAUGCCAUGAAUAAACUACACUCUCUAUUUUCUCCCUCUCCUUUAGCCAUCAAUAACAGAAUGUUGUUUCCCAAAUUCUCAAGUCACCUUUAACAUACACUGUGAGGUCACUGAUCUAAAAAGCCUGAAGUCAUUCACCUUCCCAGCACAGAGGUGGGAAUCCAUCCUGGCUGAAGAGGUUACAACUCCGCUCCACAGACACGUGGAGAAGAAUGGGGAGCGACCCCUCCCUGUAGGAAGCUGAUGGCUCCAGGAGGGUGGCAGGCGGGCCAGUACAUGAAACCGCAGAAUGCAAUAGCUGAUGUAAGAGGGGUGCCCAGAGGACACCGUGGAACACGGAGGAGGAACCACGUUUCAUACAGCAGAACCAAGGAGAGCCCGCGGCGGAGGUAGCAUUUGGGCGUAACAGAAUGGGGGUGGGGGGGUGAGGUGGAAGUAGGGAACGAAGAGGGGAAUGUCGGGAGGCAUGCAGAUAUCUGGGACCACCAGUGGGGGCCCAUGAUGGGCUGGCAUGGGGCGGUCCCAUGAGGCUGGGAAGCAAGCUGGUGACUGUAGUGUGGAGGGGCUGGCCUGCCUCCCUAAGACCCCCUGUGGAGGAGACGGUCCUCAGAUGCUUUCUGGGGGGAGGUGGCCAGCUCCAGUGAGGGAGGUUGGAGAGGAAACCACUAGGGUGAGGGCAGGUGGAGUGGAAAGCAAUGGUCAGGGCUGAGAGACAUUUUGAAGGCAGAAUUCAUAGGACAGGGGGUCAAGUGAGGAAGGAGGCAAAAAUAUGUGUGUGCCGGCAGGAGGCUGAGGGCAGGCGGCUGAGAUUCAGGGUACGACGGAUGGCGGAGGGCCAGGGUGGAACCAGGGCAAGAAGGACCCAGAAGAAAGAGAAGCAUCUUGGUGCAGAACUGUGUCAUCCCGUUGCUGGGCCAGCAGCUGGCCUUUUCACUGGGCUCUGCACACCUUGGCACUGCAGGGGGUGUGGGGGUCAAUUACCAGGUGAGAGGUCAACAUCUAGCCGUUAUGAACAACACAGCACCAUCCAACACUGUGGGGCUGAAAAGUACAGACCAGCAGUGAGCUUGAAACAGGGACCUAUGUGGGGUCAACACUGAAAUGGGGGCACCAGAGACAAUGGCAAAAGCCAAAGCAAGCCAAGAAGCCUGACAGCCUCCUCGCUCAGAGGGCUGGCAUUUCACAACCACAGCUGGAAGGACAGUUGAGCAUCUCGGAAAGCUGGUUCUCUCGUCAGCAGGGACAAGAGCUGCUUGGCUGUUCUGGGCCUGGAAAGACCAGGGAAGAUCAGGGAAAGGGAGUCUGUCUCCAGGAAGCACCGAGCACUCUGCAGGCCUUAUUUUUAGAUUAAUGUGCUGAUGCUAUUACUAGCGCUGCUUCCCCACAGGAAGGGGCUGCAGGAGCGGGCAUCUUCGCCCGUCUGCUCUCUCAUUCAGCCGCACAUCCCUCACCCUUGCUACCCCCCACAGACGGUCCUAACUCCUCCAUUUUAAAGACACGGCUGCAUGAAACAUCCUGCAGGGCUCCUGGGUGGCAGCCCUGGAUCUUGAGCCCAGAUCCCCCCACUCUUCGCCCCCGUUAGUCCACAGAAACCCCACCAUGUACCCCGAGACAUACAACCUUCUCGAAAGAACCCCACGGGCAUGGCGUUUGAUGAUCUACACAAAAUAAAAUGACCAACCUUUUAACCUCACAUUACAACUGCACUUAAAAGGAGAAAAUGCAAGAAAUAUUUCAAACAUGCUCUUCCUGGCACUGGCUGAGCUUCUGGCUGACUCACUCUGCUUGUCCUCUUUUCCACAGAGGGAAGGGAGGAAAAGUGAGCAAAGACCACAAUUUCACUCCAUACAGAGACGUGGUUUUCUUACAUAAACACGGACUUCUCAGUGGAACGCUUAGCCCAUCUCAUCAAUUCCACAACUGCAGGGUAUUUUCUCUGAGGUCACUGCAAUUAGGUAAAUACUGCUUGUCUUACAGAAUGAAAUGAAAGCUGAGCGAGUGCAGAGACUCCUUCCCCGAGGUCACAGUUCACAGAAUCCUGAUGGCUCAAAACAACCCAGUAGUUUCAGGAAAAACCACCAGGUUCUCUUGGUCAUGAUUCAUCAGCUUAUAGGUUUUUUCUCACAUAAAAAUAUUAAGUUGAAUUAAAAUAUUCUUACAGGACCUGAUAUUAAAAUAUGGGGCUGGGGAAGGGUGACUACCAGUGUCACCGCAUUGCCAGGCGCCUUCUAUCCAUUACCUCUGACUGUCAGGACCCCCACAGGGAGGCAUUACUGUUGUGCUUUUACAGAUAAGGAACAGAUAAGAGAAUGAACUUAGAAAAGUUUAAAAACUUGCCCACGUCCUAUGACCAGAAGCCCUGGAUUCAGGCUUCACACCCAGCCUGGCUGGACGUCCAGCUUCGCUCUCCACCUGACCAGGUUGCUUCUUGGCUUCUAAAUGGCGCCAAGGUUGAUGUCAGUGGAAGGAUCUUUGGGGCAAUUUCCUUGUUUGGAAAAACACCUGCCCAGCUCUGGAAGGGGUCUACGGUCCAGGGCAGCACCUGGGGUCAGCACCCUGCAUUCAGUCCAGACCUUGCCUCCUAUUCGCUGUGCAACAAGAGGCUUGGCUUCUCGGAGUGCGUCUUCAUCAGGAAGGCAGGAGAGGAAAACUCAUCUCGAGAGUGGCCCUGAGGAGGAAGAGCCCCGGGCCCGGCUCUGGAACAGGGUCAGUGCUCACAAAGAAAAGGCUGCCAGAAUCAGGAAUAUUUGUAUCUCUGUGAUUAAAAUAAUAGUGUAUCACCACAGCUGCCUUUUUAUUAAUUUAAGACCUGUGAUGUAAGCGGAGCGGCAUCUGUUUCCUUUGUAGAAACAGAGCUGGGGCUGCCUCAGAGAACACUGUUGCCAGCUUGGGGCAGCGGUGAGCUCUGCCUGUGGAUGGGGGCGGUUCCUUGUUCAGGCAGUUUCCUGCAAGGGUGAGGGCAGACACCCUAGGGGCCCUGGGAAGGAUGCCACUGGCUGAAGUUCCUUACAGGAGGCCUGGACUCCAGAUGCUGCACUCACAUCCACUGUGCCACCACACCAAAUGACUCGGACUCAGGGAACACACCAGCCACCAGAGAGCUAAGUCACCCUUACACAGGGAGGACUGGCAAGUGACAGUCAACGAGGCUGAUGGAGAGUUCUCAUGCUAAAAGAUCCUCAAACAGCAAUACGCCAUGUGCUGGUGGCAAUGUCCAGGUGAGAGAAAGAGGACACAGCCAGCCUGGUAACAGCAAGCAACUCAGAUGCCUGUAUCUGGAAGAUACUUCACAGAACCAGUCUUUGUGCUACUGAAAAGAUCUUGAACAUGCAGAUGAACACACUCCAUAAAAAAGUCACCUUUCAUUUAGGAGACAAGAAAUGCUCCCGUCGGACAUGGCUCAGAGUUCAGGAGCUGAUUCCUGGUGAUCUCAGUGGGUGAUUUCGUGUUGACCCCAUUUUGGAGAGCUCAAGUUUAGACAACUGAGAGAAGAAAGCAGUCAGCACAACAUGGCUAAUGUUAAUUUGCUACCUGGAGGCUUCCAGGGCAGGGACCCCAGAAACUUUUCACCAUUCGCCUCUCUCACAUACAGUGGGGCUUUGCCAGCCACCUCCUGGGAACCCCCAACCAGAUGGGUGGAGAGGCCUCGACCGCCUGCACCUGGCGCUCAUCAGCAGAAAGUCACUUUUCCCUGGGCUGACAGUCCCUUCCCACAGCAAGGCUCAGAACAGCUAUGACGGGACCUCAACGCAGCUGGCUGAGGGCCCAGGAACCUCUGAGAAUGAAGCACUUCCCUGUUGCUUUCAGAUGGCUUGUCUAGAAGAUGAUUAAAUAAAAAAGCUUUAGUGAUCCUCUUUCUGCUCAUAAAUCUAUAAAUAUAAAUAGACAGCUGUCAGAGUAGUAACAUCAGAGGUUUCUGAACGUUUUUAUAAAACUCUGAUGUCAACUAGGACAUUAAGGGAAGUCAAAACACCUUAGCAGAAUGCUGCAUCCAGACCUGUCUUUAAAAGAGUCAGUGAGAGAUACUGAAAUCUGCACGGUUUUCCACUUCCUCCAAACAAACUCUGAGUGACAUGGGAGAACUCUUUCAAGUUCAAAUCCUGGGGGCUGAUGGAGAUUAAAAGAUAAAAAAAAAUCAACUCCAAACUAUGUGAACCCAAAACAAGGUCUCAUAAACCGUUUGUAAACCUCAAUUCCAUCUUGGCCAGGUGAAGGCUCUGAAGAGUCUCCAGGAUUUCCAGAACAUGGUCUAACAUCCAAGAAUCAGCAGAAAGCAGGAAAGCAAUACCUCUGCUGAAGAAUGAAUGAAGGAACGAGUGAAGGAAUGAACAGACGAUCCUUUGAUACCCUGCAGUGCACUGCUGAGGUGUAGGUAUGGGCCUAGAGGCUCCAGUGAUUUGUUUUAUAGAUACUUGAGGGCUUCCAGAGGCUACUUGUUUUUUCACUAGAUGCUGGGAACACAAAUGAAAGUAAAGACUCCUGGCCUCCAGAGCUCACAGACCAGUGAGGAAGACCGUGAGCAGAGAAGGUCAAUUCAGGGUGCUCUCAUGAGGGUCUGAACAACCUGCAGGAGGACGUGGAGGAGCCCUUAGACCCGGGGUUGGGGGGGGUGGGGUGGGGAGCAGAAGAAAGGCUUUGGCAAGGGGCUGGUCCACGGGCUGUUGGUGGCAGGUGAGGGGCAGUUGGUCAGCCUGUGAUGGUGAGGGUGGAGGGGUACUCCCAGCACAGGAAGCAGCUUGUGGGGACACACAGAGGCAGGACAGAGUGAGACCGGGCAACGGUGACAAGCUCAGAAGGCUCAGGCCUGGAGGAGGAGGCUAACUGCCUGGGAAGCACCUUGCAGGCGGAGGCAUUGUCACUGUACCCUGCAGGCAACCAGAAAAGAAGUUGAUUUUAAGUAGGACACAGACUUCUCCUUCUGUAUUUUUUGAAAACAUGACUAGAUUUGAAAAAAAAAGAAAAAGAUAGCUCUAACAAUGUGAAAAUAGGAAAUAUCCAAAAAUAAUUUAUUAGCUUAGAUAUGCUAAAAUAUCACUUUCAUUCUUCUAUAUUAAGACCCCCAAUUCAAAUCAUUAUAAUGGGGCAGAGUCACUUUCUGAUUGAUGAGAAGGGGGCCUGCUCCACAGAGCGGUGCUGAGCACAGCAACCUGGAUGUGGCGUACACCCCAUGGACGUCUGUUAUACUGAACACUAUGAGUUUAAGAUUCGGAUAGAACUGAGUUAAAGAGGCCCCACUUUUUACAGAUAUGAUAACUGAACCCUGCCUUGAGAAACUGACUAUGGCUGCCUAGAAACGUGUGCUGGAUGUUCCAAUAGAAACAGCUAUACGCAAAUAAUGACUUAGAUUUCUCCAGAAGGAUACACAAAGACAACGUGACCAGCCUUGUUACGUUAAAAACCAGAAAAAUAGGAAAGAACACCAUGCACGUCCAUGACACACCACAAAAAACAACUUCUCUGGUUGCCCCUGUCCUUUAUAGUCACCAGGAAAAGGCAGAAAAUUACUCAGGAGGGUGAAGUACAGAAAUGCUGUAGCCUGUUGGUUGGAAUAAACUGCCAUCUGCCAUCACGCUUUGUUAACACUAAGAAACUCCUUUUGUGUGUUGGCUGCAGGUGGGUGAGGUUCACAGGGUGGGCGUUACUGGCGUUCUCUGUAUGCUCCAGUCUAUGAGAAAGGUAACAGGGAGGAAAUUUGAAGAAGGUGUUCUCCAAGGCGCAGAAAGGGCUCCGCUUUGUGAAGUCACUAUACCAAGUGAAGGACAGCAUCUGGGGCUUGUGGGGAGACCAGAAGGGAGGGGUUGCCCUUGGUGGUGUUAGUGCCAUUAUUUAAUGUGCUGUGGGCACCGGCCAUGGGGGAGCGAAGCAGGCAGCUGGGCUCUACUCUUUGCUACUCCCUCUGGGUACUCAGGAGCGAAGGCAUUGGCUUCCAACUGGGGCAGCUCCCCUCAUCACCCCUGCCCCCAGAGACUCCCACCACACAGGCUAGUCAGCUGACUUUCCCAACUGUGUUUUGCCUGUCCAGAUGUUAAUGAGGAAGAUUCCAAAAUGAUUACAAUCCUCACACUCACAGGCUUCUUUCAAAAUUUGGAAGUAAACAUCGGAGGUAAACUGAUGAAAGUUUGUUACUCAAAGAAAAUCAGAGUGGGAUUAGGUGUCACAGGUUGACCCAUAUUUCUUUUUAUGAAACUGGCACCAUUUUGGGGGUUGCCCAACCUUCCCUCAGCCAUGAGAACAAAAGUUGAUGCCAAUAGCACUGAACAAGAGACACAUGGUGGCACUUGUGGAGCAGAGUGUGGUGUCUCUCUAUACAUGGCGGAGAAGUCUGCUCGGCAAGGCCCGAGGAUCAUCAUAUCUGCAUUCAGAUGCAUAACAGCCUGUGCUCACCAGAGGAGCACCCCAGCACCACCAGGGCAUGUCGGAGGACUCCAUAGCCCCUCUUCACCACACGCAUCUUGGGACCUGCCCUCUUCCACACCGCAGGUUCUGAGGCAGACAUAACUACAGAAGAACCUGCUUUCUCUGUAUGGCUUGGACUAACAUUGUCACUCUCACUGCUAUGACUGUUUAUUAGUAAAAGGUGCCCUUUGGAUAAGCAAAUUUGAUCUGAAUGAGCAGAGAGACUCGUGAAUGAGAACAACCUGCUUAAUUCCCUUGUUAGCUGACAUCUCCUGGCCUUCUUCACCUCUCCAGCUUGUGGUAUGUGUAACUGAUGUCUUGCUGCUUUGCUAUCAAACACUGGCCCUGAUGUCAGGCUUUGCUUUUAUGGGGCUGCUUUGAAAAGAAAGGUCUGAUCUACCUCCAGAACUAGAAGCUUCCACCUGUGCCCUAUAAGGAGCAAGCAACUCAGAGUAGGGAGGAAGGGUUGAAAUGGGCAAAGGCUUUGCCUCCCGGCUGAGGAAUGCAAGAUGGGACAAAAACCCAGUGGGGUGCUACUGAUUGAUUUGAGGAUCCCCAUCUGCCCGGAAAAGUGGACUCUAGUCCCAGAGAUCACCUUCUCCAGUGAGGGAUCACCACGAGGUAGGAGGGGGAGACCUGAACUUCUGGUGAGUCAAGGGCAGACAAAAGUUCUCCAAUCCUGUCCAAAGCAGCAAAAAGCCCUUUACAAAUAAUCAUGCAGCCGUUUCAUUUUAUAUACAGGUAAGUUGCCUUCCUUCUCUGGGCCUCAGUUUCCCUAAUGUGACACCUUAAACAAGCAACUAGGGUAGAGUAGCGGAGACAAUAAUCUUGAGUGUCCUGCUUGUUGAGUAAUUCUUAUUAUGAACCCACCAUGCUGCUUCCAGAAAUAGAUAAUCACUUCUUUUCACCUCCCAGCUCAGAGAAUGCCUUUAAAACAUAUUCAAAUCUUAUGCAGUCUAAAAGCUUGAUGACAAGAACUCUUAUUUUGGCAAGCGAUAUGAAUAGACAGUUCAUAGAAGAGCACAUUCAAAUGGCCAAUAAACACAAGGAACGAUGCUCAACCUUAGGAGUUGUCAGGGAAACGCAAAUCACAGCAACCAUCAGCUAUCACUUAUCACUCUUUAAUUUUUACCAAUCUGAUAGGUGAGAAAUCCUACUGCUGGUGGGUCAGGCAGGGUACGGCCCAACAUCAGCAGUGGAAAUGUAAAUUAAUUCAAUCUUUUUAGAAAGCAAUCUGACAACGUAGAUUUCAACUUAAAGGACACAUUCCCUUAUACUCAAAUCUCACUCCUGACAAUCUUUUCUUUGGUAGACACUGUUGGGUUAGUUUCCUACCUAGCAUUCAUUUCCUCUUCCUCUUUCUAGCAGAAUGCUCGGAGUCCUCAGGUUUCCUCUGCCUCUAUACAUCCCACCUGAUCCUCACCUGCAGUUCCUUUCAAGGACCUAUUAGGUCUAAGAGUAAUCUCAUCUCUCUUGCCCAUGACUGGCUUAGGAACACAGGCCUGAGCCAAUCAACUCCUGGAAUUCCCCUGGCCCCAGAGUUUGGUUCAGGAUUGGACAUGUGACCUACCCUGGACCAAUGGGACUGAAGCAGAAGUUUUCCAGGGGCUUCUGGGAAAGAUGAUUCCUCACUCUUUGGAGAGACACCGGAAGCCUCUCUCCUCCUUGGGCUGUUGUCACACACAGUGGCUGGGUGGGAGAUGGCUGCACCCACCUGGCUUUCAGUCUAAGAAUAAAGCACAACCAUGGAGGAAGACAGGGGCCUGCUUGAACCACAUCUGCCACUGACCUUUCUUGACAAUGAAUGCCCUUUGUUGGUUUUCUUUGUAAUUUACGAAGUAUUUUAAAAACAGAGAAAAGUAUAGAGAACAAGGUAAAAAAUAUCCAAAUGCCCACAACUCAGACUUCACAAAUGUUCGCAUUUUGCCACAUGCUCUAGUUCUACGGUAUUAAAUCAAACUUUACAGACACGUUUGAAGCUCCCUCUGUAGGUUUUCUUGACUCCCUUCCUCUUCCUCCCUCUCCAAAAGCAAUCGCUACCCUAAGUUGGCAGGUAUACGGCCCUUUACUUUUUAAUAUUUAUAUUAAUAUAUCUUAGAUUGAACUCUUUCAAAGCCAUAUUUUUAUCUACAUAUUUUACCUACAUAUACAUUUUUUGUAUAGCUCAACCUAAUACAUAUAUACACAAAUUUUUUCUCAUAAAUGGCAUUGCUGUAUAUAUAAUUUAGUAACUCUAGUCACCAAUAUACUUUUGAGGUUUAUCUAUGUUGAUUCCUGUCAUUUUAACUGCCACGUGGAAUUGCUUUGACUGGAUGUGCCAUAAAGUAUUUUUUCAUCUCCUACAGGUGGGUGUUGAGCUUGUUUUCCAUUUUUUCUGUUACAGGCGCUGCAUCUCCCGGUGCUCACGGAGGAGUCUCUUGAGGGUCCAACACUGGGGAGAGCUGGAUGUCACGCUUUAGUAGGUGCUGUCUGCAUUUACAAUCCUGCCAUGCACAUGACAGGUUAUACUCCAGUGCUUCCUCUCCAAUGCCCGCUCCUUCUUGCCAGCCUUCAACAUUUUAGCUAAUCUGCUGGCUGUGGAAUGGUUGCCUUUUGAGGUUUUAAUGUGCAUUUCCCGCAUUACUAAUUGAACAUCUUUUCAUAAGUUUACGGACUAUUGGUUUUCCCCUUCUGCAAAGAGCUUCUCCCUACACUUCGACCAUCUCUCUACUGGCUGGUUAGUGGCUUUCUCAUUGAAUGCUAGGAGUUCUUUGGGUCAUCUGAACUCAUUCUUUGUUACAUGUUGCAAAUAUCUCGCAGUGAGGGGCUUAUUUUUCCACAUUCUAAAAAUGGUUUCUACUGUCAUUCGUAAGUUUCAAAUUUUAUGUUGUGAAAUUUAUCAAUCUUUUCCUUUUAUUGUUCACACUCUUGUGUGUCUUGUUUAAGAAAUC